GCCAGGUGCAGUGGUGCUUGCCUGUAAUCCCAGAGGCUUGGGAGGCUGAGGCAGGAGGAUCGUGAGUUCAAAGUCAGCCUCAGCAAAAGUGAGGUGCUAAGCAACUCAGUGAGACCCGGCCUCUA
rnacentral:sRNA from 1 species